rnacentral:lncRNA from 1 species
UAAGUAUCUUACCAAUGCCCUUCACCUUUACCUUAGAAGCAUCUCCAAAUGAAACAUGACCAUUCACCGAUUCAUCAAGCUCCAUGAAAAUUUCUUUAUGCCCGGACAUGUGGUUACUUGCACCGGAGUCCAAGUACCACAUAUUUUGAUUGGUAGCAUCUCCUCCUUUUCGUGCUAGUAGAAGCACGUCAUCUUCAUCAUCAUUUUUUUUGGCAUAAUU